rnacentral:rRNA from 1 species
GGAUUGAACGCUGGCGGCAUGCCUUACACAUGCAAGUCGAACGGCCGCACGGGAGCAAUCCUGGUGGCGAGUGGCGAACGGGUGAGUAAUAUAUCGGAACGUGCCCAGUCGUGGGGGAUAACGCAGUGAAAGCUGUGCUAAUACCGCAUACGAUCUAUGGAUGAAAGCGGGGGACUCGCAAGAGCCUCGCGCGAUUGGAGCGGCCGAUAUCAGAUUAGCUAGUUGGUGGGGUAAAAGCCCACCAAGGCGACGAUCUGUAGCUGGUCUGAGAGGACGACCAGCCACACUGGAACUGAGACACGGUCCAGCUCCUACGGGA